GACGAACGCUGGCGGCGUGCUUAACACAUGCAAGUCGAACGAAGAGCGAUGGAAGCUUGCUUCUAUCAAUCUUAGUGGCGAACGGGUGAGUAACGCGUAAUCAACCUGCCCUUCAGAGGGGGACAACAGUUGGAAACGACUGCUAAUACCGCAUACGAUCUAAUCUCGGCAUCGAGGAUAGAUGAAAGGUGGCCUCUACAUGUAAGCUAUCACUGAAGGAGGGGAUUGCGUCUGAUUAGCUAGUUGGAGGGGUAACGGCCCACCAAGGCGAUGAUCAGUAGCCGGUCUGAGAGGAUGAACGGCCACAUUGGGACUGAGACACGGCCCAGACUCCUACGGGAGGCAGCAGUGGGGAAUCUUCCGCAAUGGACGAAAGUCUGACGGAGCAACGCCGCGUGAGUGAUGACGGCCUUCGGGUUGUAAAGCUCUGUUAAUCGGGACGAAAGGCCUUCUUGCGAAUAG
rnacentral:rRNA from 2 species